AAAUCCUCCUCCCUCCCAAAAUUCUCAUUCCCUCGUAACUUAGAGAAAAAAAAAAGAAGAAGAUAACCCUAGCCCGUUUCGUUCUUCUUCUUCUUCUUCUUCUUCUUCCGAGCUCACUUUCCUUCCUCCCAGCCCCCACCAUCGUCGAAGGCAGAAACCUCCACUCUAUUCACAGCGUAUCCCAACUCAGUCUCUCUUCACUGUGUGCGCCGUCGCUGCUUCUUCGCUCCUGGUUGUGGGUCAUCGUUGCUCCGCUCCUUGCCGUGGGUCGUCGCUGCUUCUUUGCCUCCUCGCCAGGCUUGUUGUUGCUUCCCUUCUUUUGCGUCGUUGCUGUUGCUUCCCUGCUUCACUGCUGGGUGGUCUCUGCUCCUCUGAUUUUAGAAUAAGAAGGAAAGGAAGAAGGUGAGGGAAGUGGAAAUUCUUAAGAAAGAUCCUAAACAGCUGAAGAAACAGAUUGAGAACUUGGAAAUGAUGAGAAUAUGAAGAUAAAAUGAAGGAGAAGGGUGAGACCCUAUUAUGUUUAAGUGAGGGAUUUCUCCAUUGCUUAAAAGCAACCUUUUAACCCACUUUUUCGUUGUUAGUUUAUACAUUCUAGAAUGCCUUUUCGGCAUAAGAUGAACAUUACAAGAGAAAGCAUAAUGCUGGGGGGCUAAUUCUUCAUAUAGAUUUCGUUGUAUCCUUCUGUUUUCUUUUUUUCUUUCUUUCUUUUUAAAUUUGUUAACACUUUGUUGGGGGGUCAAAAUGCAUUAGUGUCACUUUGUGCUUUGCAUUCCUGAAACCUUGAAUGUAAUAAAAUUGAAGAGAACAUGGAAAGUAAAGACUUUCACCAAAGGCUUGGAAUUCUUCAAGAUAGUAGCUGACCUUACUGAAAGUGAAGGUGAAAAACAUUACAAGAUGAGCGAACAAAUUAGAGAAGAAUUUUUUUUUUGGUUUUUAAAGGAUGAGAAGAAUAUGUACUAUAUUAGUGAAUAUUUUUGUUUUCACAGUAUAAUAUUUUGAUGUCUUUUGUAAUUUUUUUAAUAGCUUCUACCUGGUAUUACAUGUAAUGGAUAAAUUAUACCAUAUUUUGAUUUGUCUUGUUUGGACUAAAAACAUAUAUAGUUUAUAAUGUAAAUUUUAUGAUUUAGAUUUA